GGGGCCGUCACGGUUUCGACAGGGGGGUGAAAACUACCCCGUGAUUCAGGCCGAGAGUGAGUCUUCUCUCGUAAAUACCGGGCUCAAAACAAAAAGUAAAUGCGAACAACAUCGUUCCUUUUGCUCGCAAAGCAGCUGCUGUUGCUUAAUAACCCUCUAACUUGAGGCGCGAGCGUCUGUAGUCCGACUCCGUUAAGGACCACAGACCAACCCCCAACGGAUGCCCUAGCGCGAUUUCUCUGGUAGAGUGCUAGCUAAGACUUAACCAGAGCAUCCCAUCAUCCGGGAUAAUGGAUGAUUCUCGCCCUGAGGAUUAGAGGGGCUAAGCCUGUGAAGGAACGGAAAGCCAAUAACCUCUUUGGAAAGCGGUUCGACUCCGCUCGGCUCCACUA
rnacentral:tmRNA from 1 species